rnacentral:tRNA from 1 species
GGAGGUAUAGCUCAGUGGUAGAACACUUGCCUGGUACGUGUGAGACCCUGGGUUUGAUCCCUAGCACCACCA